GCUGGUUGGCGUCUGCGUUUUAAUAAGAAGCGUAAGGACUGACCAAUGUGUUCAGGAGUACGUGGAAGCAAUGCUCGUACCGCAAGGCAACACGGAGAGCACUUCUUCACCCCGUCAGCCCUUGGAAUCCAAACCAUCACUUCUAGCCGCGUAUAGGGAAGCAGGCGCACUGGUACAUCAGAUUAUCCACCAGGAAUGAUCUACAAUAUCAUGCUUACCCCUGGGCUGUUUCUAUCUACGGUGGAGGACACCUGGAAGCGUACUUGGCGCACAAAGUCGGAAGAAGAUAGUCUUUAGGUGCUGCAGACCACCAUCUCCGCUUCUAUUGCUUUCUUAAUGCUCAUAAAACCUAUUCUGCGCACGACGUCCACUUUGUUCAAUAAACAUCCUGUUCAUGCACCAUCAACA